GGGUGGGCCUGACAGUCUGCAUUUCUAACAUGUUUCCAAGCAGAGGCAGGUGAUGCUGAUCCCAGCCCCUGAGAUGAGCAAGCAGGCAGGGCAAGUGGGACAAUCUGGCUGUGAGAGGAGGGGUUUCUCAGCAAACAUUAAUGUAAAAAAGGAGAGAAUAUAAGAAACUAAUAUUUUUGCACACUAUAGCAAGGUCUAGUACACAUCUGUAAAAAGGUAUUAUCCAAGUAAUAGCUUUGAGCAAGGAAAAAAAAAUAACAAACCAAAAUCAAUCUACCUCUAGAGCUGAAAAAUGCUUUAAAAUGGCCCAGUACUCUCUAAAAUGAUUAAAUCAACCACAAAACCAUCUAAAUGAAAAAUGCAGCCAGUGUUUGGAAUCUAACCAGGAAGGCUAGGGUGGUAUAUACCUCAUUUUGGUUCAUUCUUUUUUACUUGCUAUUUCUUCUGUGAAUUAGAAACCUACUUAGCGCCUAUUACUUUUUCCUAUUUGUUAUAAUGUCCAGGAAAUCUGAGCAGAUGAAGCAAUUGAAAGAGAAUGAAGCCCUGUUUCUGCUGUGUGGACACAUUCCUACAUCUCCACUGGAAACAAUGCCCCUCUCCAUCAGCUCCAACAGCAAAGGGACUGCCUGAGAUCCUGGGGCUGCAGGCAGGUGUGGAGGAGACGAACCCUGAAUAUACACACAAAAAGUGGAACCAACUCACCACGAUGUUGCCUGAAUACACAAAUGAAGCUAAAGGUGACACUAAUCAGGGACCCAAAGGCAACGAUGAUGACAAACAUGGCACAGAUGGCAUCCAGACGGACGGCAAACCAGCGGGACGUUGUCAAAAACAAGAACCAAGCCUCUGAAUUUGAGAACGGUAAUAAGCAUGAUGAAUAAGUAGAUGAAUGUGCGAGUGUGUUUUGCUCAGUUGAGCUACAGAAGAUUUUUACGUGGAGUAGGGCACCAAAGUUGCACACCCAAGGAACCUUUAGAUUCCAGAAAGCUAAGUGAUACAGGCAAUAUACGAUACACAUACACAAUGGUACCGUGGCUUUCUGUGAGGAUGCAUGCGAAUAUGAAACCCAGAAAUAUGAUCCUAAUAAAGAACUGAGAAAAGUAGUCUCAUAAGGACAUCUCGUACAGUGCUGAGAAAUACUUAUGUGAAGUGCAUCUCAUGUGAAGUCCACCCACACACAUGGUUGACUGGUCCAGUUCUCCAACAGCAGAGUGCAGCUCCCAUUUUACUUCUCCCACCUUCCAUACUUACCAGAAGGCCCACACACACUGACUAUUGCUUAGGGGCUAUAUAAAAAUGACCUCACUAACAGGAUUUGCAUGUGGUUUUUUGUUUGUUUGUUUGCUACUUCUUUUUUCCUUUUAGCAUGUGGUUUUUAAAGUGCCAUUUAAUCAGCAAGAUAAAAUAAAGAUUGGAAUGACGGAUCUGAAUUUUGUAGAUUUGGUGGAAAUUCUGAAAUUUCCAUAUUGAAAAAAUCUUCACUGAUGCAAGGGGUCAGCAAACUACAGCACGUGAGCCAGCACCUAUUUUUGUAAAUAAAGUUUUAUUGAAACAUAGUCACAGCCAUUUGCCAAUGUAUUGACAUCUGCUUUUGUGCUACAAUGGCAAAGGUGAUUCAUCACAACAGAGACAAUAAUGGCACACAAUGCCUAAAACACUUACUAGGUGGCCUUUUGCAGAAAACGUUUGCUGACAGAGCCACAGGCCAUGCAUGGUGAGAGAAAGACCCCACAAGCCAGUCAGGGGGCACAAAGAGGGAACGUGCAGCAGCGAUUCCGAGAGGAGUCCAAGCCCAGAAGAAGGGGAUGGGGAAGGAGACGAAGAUGCGCAAAAAAAGCAGGAUGUGGGGCUGGGCCCUGAGGUGCCUGCCAACAAGCUCAUCUGACCAGGGAGGUUAAGCCAGAA
rnacentral:lncRNA from 1 species